rnacentral:rRNA from 1 species
GAUGAACGCUGGCUACAGGCUUAACACAUGCAAGUCGAGGGGAAACGCCGGGGAAGCUUGCUUCCCCGGGCGUCGACCGGCGCACGGGUGAGUAACGCGUAUCCAACCUGCCUCUGACUGAGGGAUAACCCGUCGAAAGUCGGCCUAAUACCUCAUGGUAUCGUCUGCGGGCAUCCAACGACGAUUAAAGAUUUCAUCGGUCAGGGAUGGGGAUGCGUCUGAUUAGCUUGUUGGCGGGGUAACGGCCCACCAAGGCUACGAUCAGUAGGGGUCUGAGAGGAAGGUCCCCCACAUUGGAACUGAGACACGGUCCAAACUCCUACGGGAGGCAGCAGUGAGGAAUAUUGGUCAAUGGGCGAGAGCCUGAACCAGCCAAGUAGCGUGCAGGAAGACGGCCCUAUGGGUUGUAAACUGCUUUUAUGCGGGGAUAAAGUGAGGGACGGGUCCCUCAUUGCAGGUACCGCAUGAAUAAGGACCGGCUAAUUCCGUG